rnacentral:rRNA from 1 species
AAGCUCGUAGUUGAAUUUCGAGAUCAGUACGCUGGUCGUGCCUUCGGUAUGCACUGGUGACACUGGUUUCUCCCUUCUGAAGAACCGUCAUGUCAUUAAGUUGGUGUGGCGGGGAAUCAGGACUGUUACUUUGAAAAAAUUAGAGUGUUUAAAGCAGGCUCGCGCUUGAAUACAUUAGCAUGGAAUAAUGAAAUAGGACGUUUGACCCUAUUUUGUUGGUUUCUAGGAUCGACGUAAUGAUUAAUAGGGAUAGUUGGG